UACGUAGGUGGCGAGCGUUAUCCGGAAUUACUGGGUGUAAAGGGUGUGUAGGCGGGAAGCCAAGUCAGAUGUUAAAAUUACGGAUUCAACCCGUAACCUGCGUCUGAAACUGGUUUUCUUGAGUGUGGGAGAGGUAAACGGAAUUCCUGGUGUAGCGGUGAAAUGCGUAGAUAUCAGGAGGAACACCGGUGGCGAAGGCGGUUUACUGGACCACAACUGACGCUGAGACACGAAAGCGUGGGGAGCAAAC
rnacentral:rRNA from 1 species